GAUGAACGCUAGCGGCAGGCUUAAUACAUGCAAGUUGAGGGGCAGCAUGAUAUACGCGAGUAUAUUGAUGGCGACCGGCGGACGGGUGAGUAAUAGGUAGGAGACCUACCUCAUACAGGGGGAUAGCAUAGAGAAAUCUGUGGUAAUACCCCAUGAGGUUAUAUGAAUAGAGGCAUAUAAUCAAAGCAUAAGCGAUUAUGCGGUAUGAGAGGGGCCUACUGACCAUUAGCUAGUUGGUGGGGUAAGGGCUCACCAAGGCGAAGAUGGUUAGGGGUUUUGAGAGAGAGACCCCCCACAUUGGAACUGAGAGACGGUCCAGACUCCUACGGGAGGCAGCAGUAGGGAAUAUUGGGCAAUGGGCGGAAAGCCUGACCCAGCCAUGCCGCGUGAAGGAAGACGGCCUUAUGGGUUGUAAACUUCUUUACUACGCGAAUAGAGGUUAGUACGAGAUACUAAUAGGAAGGUAGUGUAGUAAAAGACACCGGCUAACUCCGUGCC
rnacentral:rRNA from 1 species